rnacentral:rRNA from 1 species
GACGAACGCUGGCGGCGUGCUUAACACAUGCAAGUCGAACGGAAAGGCCCUGCUUUUGUGGGGUGCUCGAGUGGCGAACGGGUGAGUAACACGUGAGUAACCUGCCCUUGACUUUGGGAUAACUUCAGGAAACUGGGGCUAAUACCGGAUAGGAGCUCCUGCUGCAUGGUGGGGGUUGGAAAGUUUCGGCGGUUGGGGAUGGACGCGCGGCUUAUCAGCUUGUUGGUGGGGUAGUGGCUUACCAAGGCUUUGACGGGUAGCCGGCCUGAGAGGGUGAACGGCCACCUUGGGACUGAGAUACGGCCCAGACUCCUACGGGGGACAGCAGUGGGGAAUAUUGCACAGUGGGCGGAAGCCUGAUACAGCAACGCCGCGUGCGGGAUGACGGCCUUUGGGUUGUAAACCGCUUUCGCCUGUGACGAAGCGUGAGUGACGGUAAUGGGUAAAGAAGCACCGGCUAACUACGUG